GACGAACGCUGGCGGCGUGCCUAAUACAUGCAAGUCGAGCGCAGGAAGUCAUCCGAACCCUUCGGGGGGACGUUGACGGAAUGAGCGGCGGACGGGUGAGUAACACGUAAAGAACCUGCCCUCAGGUCUGGGAUAACCACGAGAAAUCGGGGCUAAUACCGGAUGGGUCAUCGGACCGCAUGGUCCGAGGAUGAAAGGCGCUCCGGCGUCGCCUGGGGAUGGCUUUGCGGUGCAUUAGCUAGUUGGUGGGGUAAUGGCCCACCAAGGCGACGAUGCAUAGCCGACCUGAGAGGGUGAUAGGCCACACUGGGACUGAGACACGGCCCAGACUCCUACGGGAGGCAGCAGUAGGGAAUCUUCCACAAUGGACGAAAGUCUGAUGGAGCAACGCCGCGUGAACGAUGAAGGCCCUCGGGUCGUAAAGUUCUGUUGUAAGGGAAGAACAAGUGCCGCAGGCAAUGGCGGCACCUUGACGGUACCUUGCGAGAAAGCCACGGCUAACUACGUG
rnacentral:rRNA from 1 species